AUGGAGCUAAAUAUCUUGAUUUCUUUCUUAAUGGUCUUACCUGCAUGUAUUUCCUCACAGAUUACACUGACGGAGUCUGGGGAUGGCAUGAAGAAGCCAGGAGAUACUCCACGGCUGACUUGUACAGUCUCUGGAUUUGCCAUCACAAGCUACGGAGUGUCCUGGAUCCGUCAGACCCCUGGAAAGGCUAUUGAAUGGAAUGGUAUCAUCUGGGGUAGUGGAAGCACUAACUAUAACAGUGCUCUCCAGAAUCGGAUCAGCAUCACAAGGGAUGCAUCCAAAAACCAGGUGUUCCUUCAACUGACUGGUUUAAAGACUGAGGACACGGGCACUUAUUACUGUGCAAGUGACACAGUGAGCAAAUGCUUUGCUGAAGCAGCCUAA